CACCCCUCAAGCUUGGCUUGGUGUUGGGCGUCGCGGUCCCCGCGUGCCCCAAAGUGCCUCGUGCCCGGCGGGUCGUCCGUCCCCGAGCGUUGUGACAUCUCAGUUCGCUCCGGUGGAUGUGGCGGCUUCGCCGUUAAACCCCCUUUCAGG
rnacentral:misc_RNA from 1 species